AACGAACGCUGGCGGCAUGCCUAACACAUGCAAGUCGAACGAGACCUUCGGGUCUAGUGGCGCACGGGUGCGUAACGCGUGGGAACCUGCCCUUAGGUUCGGAAUAACUCCCCGAAAGGGGUGCUAAUACCGGAUAAUGUCUUCGGACCAAAGAUUUAUCGCCUUUGGAUGGGCCCGCGUUGGAUUAGCUAGUUGGUAGGGUAAAAGCCUACCAAGGCGACGAUCCAUAGCUGGUCUGAGAGGAUGAUAAGCCACACUGGGACUGAGACACGGCCCAGACUCCUACGGGAGGCAGCAGUGGGGAAUAUUAGACAAUGGGCGAAAGCCUGAUCCAGCAAUGCCGCGUGAGUGAUGAAGGCCUUAGGGUUGUAAAGCUCUUUUACCCGGGAUGAUAAUGACAGUACCGGGAGAAUAAGCUCCGGCUAACUCCGUG
rnacentral:rRNA from 1 species